rnacentral:lncRNA from 1 species
UAGCAAUCAUACCACAUGGAAUUUUAGCUCUAGAGCUGCUGGUCUUUGCAGGUCCACAGUGGAGACUUCGUGACGAGCAUCCCGCUCCCCCUCCCCCACCCCCCGGUUCACUGAAGCUCACUGUAGGGCUGUGACCUCCUGUUCCACAGAUGAGAAAACUGAGGCACACAGACAAGAUGUAGCAUGACCCUCAUCAUGAUGUGAGCAGGUUUCAGGGCGUCCGGGGCAUCACCUGUCAGCCCCUCUGCUCAUCGUUCCUGUUCUGGCUUUGAUUUGCCCUGGGGAAGAGAGCCUCAGCUUCUUCCGGAAACUGGGCAGUGGAUUUAGGAACCUGACCAGGGAAAGGAUGCAGGGUUCGACCCUGUGGCCUUGCUGGGGAACGGGGAAAGCCAGCG